rnacentral:tRNA from 1 species
UCCUUAGUGGCUCAGAUGGUAAAGAAUCUGCCUUCAAUGCAGGAGACAUGGAUUCAAUCUCUGUAUCAGGAA